rnacentral:misc_RNA from 1 species
GAUGAAGAACGUAGCGAAAUGCGAUAAGUAAUGUGAAUUGCAGAAUUCAGUGAAUCAUCGAAUCUUCGAACGCACAUUGCGCCCCCUGGUAUUCCGGGGGGCAUGCCUGUUCGAGCGUCAUUUCACCACUCAAGCCUCGCUUGGUAUUGGGCAACGCGGCCCGCCGCGUGCCUCAAAUCGACCGGCUGGGUCUUCUGUCCCCUAAGCGUUGUGGAAACUUUCGCUAAAGGGUGUUCGGGAGGCUACGCCGUAAAACAACCCCAUUUCUAAGGUUGACCUCGGAUCAGGUAGGGAUACCCGCUGAACUUAAGCAUAUCAAUAAGCGGAGGA